GAGGAAACUUGUGCUAAUACUGGAUAAGUCUUUACGGAGAAAGCUUUAUGCACCAUUGGAUGAGCCCGCACUUGAUUAGUUUGUUGGUGGGGUAACGGCCUACCAAGACUGUGAUCAAUAGCUGAUUUGAGAGGAUGAUCAGCCACAUUGGGACUGAGACACGGCCCAAACUCCUACGGGAGGCAGCAGUGGGGAAUCUUGCACAAUGGAGGAAACUCUGAUGCAGCGAUGCCGCGUGAGUGAAGAAGGCCUUUGGGUUGUAAAGCUCUUUCGUCGGGGAAGAAAAUGACUGUACCCGAAUAAGAAGG
rnacentral:rRNA from 1 species